GUUUUCGCCGAAAAUCCCCCCGAAGGACCCGAAAACAUCCCUUUUUGUGGUUUUUGAUGAAAUGUUUUUAUUUGGAUGCGGUGCCGAAAAAUCGGUCUUAUAAACAAUUUUGAGUCGCCACCCAUUGUUUAGGCAAUGAGACCGUUUUUAUAAAAAUGACUUCAUUUUAAACCCAAUUUAGUUUUAAGGCCAAAUUAUUUUAAAAGACUGGUCAGGCGCACCAAUGCGAUUCUGGGUAAGGGAAUUGGGUACGUCGGCCCGUUGGAAGCCGACGCCCGGAAAAAUCGGCCUCUAUUAACCUAUGAUUUCUAAUUUAUUUUAGUUAGAAAAGCCAAAUUAUUUAUUUAUUUAAACCCAACCCAAAUGAAUCGGACCGAGUUCCUAUUUGAAAAAUUAUUUAAUCGUCCCAAACAAAUCUAAUUAUCACAUAGCAAUCAUUCAAAUUAAAGCAANNNN
rnacentral:lncRNA from 1 species